CGUUACGAAUAGUGAAGCGCGUGUAAGUUAUCACGCAGUUCACUCUAGUAAGCUAUCAUCGGAGUGCACCAUCAUAUCAAACGUCCCUUAGCUAAGAGGUAAGGAAUUUAGAAUGACCAGUAAAGAUAUGAAGAUAAUCCUGCACCAAAACUAUAUACAUGCAGUGAGUUGCCUCCUAUCAAAAACAUCGAGGUCACUCUACAGCAAUACGACGAAUAUGAUGUCAUUUGCCUGCUAUCAAUAACACGAAGAUCACCCUGCAUACCUACGAUAAAGAAAUCCAGCGAGUUAUUGCCUAUCAAGAACAUGUAGAUCACCCUGCACCAAUACAACACAGGUGCAGCGAGUUAUCUCUUAUCAAGAACAUAUAGAUCACCCUGAACUAAUGCGUCAAAGGUGCCUCCUAUCAUGUGCAGGAAGACUAGCAUCAUCUGUGUGAACAUGUAAUGAAACCCUGAAUUGAUUGUGUGAUAUAAAGAAAAUAAUAUAAAAAUGAAUCAUGAAACAUAAUAAAAUAUUUAGUUAUU